AUGACUGUCAUGCCGCCUGCGCGCCAUCGGCCCGCGGCCAAGAGGCCCAUGUGGAUAAUCGUGCUCCUGUGCCUCGUCUGCGUCGUGCUGAUCGGGGCGUACGUGUACCCGCCGCGGCACUACUCGCAGUGCUACCUCUCUGCUUCUAGCGUCUGUACGCCGUUCAAGGAUUGGCUCCCGUCCAUCGGCCGCCGGGAGAAAACCGAUGACGAGAUCAUCUCAGCCGCUGUUAUCAGGGAUAUUCUUGGAAUGCCCAUGUCCACGUCGAAGAAUCCAAAGAUUGCCUUUAUGUUCUUGACACCUGGCUCAUUGCCCUUCGAGAAAUUGUGGGAGAAGUUUCUGCAGGGUCACGAGGGAAGAUACUCCAUCUAUGUGCACGCGUCGCGUCAGAAGCCUGUGCAUACUAGUUCUCUCUUUGUUGGCCGAGAUAUUCAUAGUGAUGCGGUUGUAUGGGGAAAGAUUUCAAUGAUAGAUGCAGAGAAGAGGCUAUUAGCAAAUGCGCUGGAAGACGCGGAUAAUCAAUUUUUUGUCUUGCUUUCUGAUAGCUGUGUUCCACUUCAUUCAUUUGACUACGUCUUCAAUUACCUGAUGGGAACAAAUAUUAGUUUCAUUGAUUGUUUCCAAGAUCCUGGUCCACAUGGAAAUGGAAGGUAUUCUCUUGAGAUGCUUCCUGAAAUAGAGGAGAGAGACUUCAGAAAGGGUGCCCAGUGGUUCGCAAUCACGCGAAGACAUGCUUUAUUGAUUCUGGCGGACAACCUUUACUACAAGAAGUUCAAGCUAUAUUGCAAGCCAGCAGAUGGGCGCAACUGUAUUGCUGACGAGCAUUACUUGCCAACCCUAUUCAAUAUGGUAGAUCCAGGUGGAAUAGCUAAUUGGUCAGUUACACAUGUGGAUUGGUCUGAGGGGAAAUGGCAUCCAAAGUCAUACGCAGUUGCUGAUGUCAGCUAUGAUCUACUAAAGAAUAUAACAGCCGUUGAUGAGACCAUCCAUGUAACAAGUGAUGACAGGAAACUUGUGACACAGAAGCCAUGUUUGUGGAACGGAUCAAAGAGUCCAUGCUAUCUUUUUGCUAGGAAAUUUUACCCCGAAACUCUCGACAGCUUACUGAAGAUAUUCACCAGCUACACGUCUGUUUGA
rnacentral:rRNA from 1 species